GGCGGCGUGCUUAACACAUGCAAGUCGAACGCUGAAGCACUUUCGGGUGUGGAUGAGUGGCGAACGGGUGAGUAACACGUGGGCAAGCUGCCCUGCACUCUGGGAUAAGCCUUGGAAACGGGGUCUAAUACCGGAUAUGACAUCAAACUGCAUGGUUUGGUGUGGAAAGUUCCGGCGGUGCAGGAUGAGCCCGCGGCCUAUCAGCUUGUUGGUGGGGUAAUGGCCUACCAAGGCGACGACGGGUAGCCGGCCUGAGAGGGUGACCGGCCACACUGGGACUGAGACACGGCCCAGACUCCUACGGGAGGCAGCAGUGGGGAAUCUUGCGCAAUGGGCGAAAGCCUGACGCAGCAACGCCGCGUGGGGGAUGACGGCCUUCGGGUUGGAAACCUCUUUCGACAUCGACGAAGGCUCCUUUUGGGGGUUGACGGUAGGUGUAUAAGAAGCACCGGCUAACUACGUGCCAGCAGCCGCGGUAAUACGUAGGGUGCGAGCGUGGUCCGGAUUUAUUGGGCGUAAAGAGCUCGUAGGCGGUUUGUCGCGUCUAUCGUGAAAACCGGGACUAAACUCCUAGCUUGCGGUGGAUACGGGCAGACUUGAGUUCGGUAGGGGAGACUGGAAUUCCUGGUGUAGCGGUGAAAUGCGCAGAUAUCAGGAGGAACACCGGUGGCGAAGGCGGGUCUCUGGGCCGAUACUGACGCUGAGGAGCGAAAGCGUGGGGAGCGAACAGGAUUAGAUACCCUGGUAGUCCACGCCGUAAACGUUGGGCGCUAGGUGUGGGGAUGGGUUCCACUGUUUCCGUGCCGUAGCUAACGCAUUAAGCGCCCCGCCUGGGGAGUACGGCCGC
rnacentral:rRNA from 1 species